UUCCCAUGAUAAGCUGACGUCCAUUGAGAGUGACGUAAUAGGUCAUAUAAAAUGGACGUCUCUAAGAUAUGACGUCCUUCGUGGAGACGAUUCCGUAGUGAACGCAUCGCCUCCUCGACAUGAGAGCUAAGUGGCGAAAGAAGCGCAUGCGCAGGCUGAAGCGCAAAAGGAGAAAGAUGAGGCAGAGGUCCAAGUGAACUGUGCGCUCCGUCAUGGCUGUGACGUCACGUCGUCAACUACAUCGCUUGUGAGCACAGCUGGAGACCCAGGACCCUCCCAAAUCAAAUCCGAUACCAGCGGCAUCUACUUCUGCCAGAGGCAGCAGCAGCUGGCUGAUGCUGGAGGAUUGGUUGGAAACCUGCUGGACGAUGGCUUUUCCUCUGGGGCUUUCUGGACUCUUUGUUCUUAACUCCUCAGCUUUUGUCAUAUGUUUUUGUUUAUACUGUGAUUAAAGGUUUUGGUUAAAAAAAGA